AUGGAGAGAAUGGUAAGUAUCUUUACCUGAGAGCUUUAUCUCUGUUAAGUUGGACUUGUAGAUCUCUAGUUAUGAGUGGUAAUGCAGUUUUAUUCAUGCUCUUGUGCUAGCAUGUUCGGGUUAAACCUGACUGCCUCAAGGCGCACCUCAGACCGCCUCAUGUUCGGGUCUUUGUCUCCUGUGAGUUAUAAUAUAAUUUGAUGUUAAAGCAUUGGAUUGGUACUUGGCUUGCAAGAGCUGCAGUGUGGGGUUAAAGAAAUGAAACGGAUUAUUUAUUGACAAGUUGCCACCACAAUCAGCAUCUUCCCAUAUUCUCUCGAAUUACUCACAUCUCUAAUCAACUAAUACCAGACUUUAUGCGAGUAUGGGUUGAUGUUGAUAUUGUACCAUAAUCUUACUUAUUUCGCCCUAAUAAUGCGAUGCUUACAAUACAAGAAGCAGUUGGUUCCACAGUUUCAUGGCCUUCUAAAAAAGUUAUUCCAAGAGGUACAUUUUCAUACUAAAAAAAGAACCAAUGUCUUAUAAUUUAGUGUUUGGUUUCUUUGUUUUCUUUGGUGUAGUUGUGAAUCCAUUAUUUUGUAUGUGGUGUCCUCUCUUGGAUAUAAUUUCCAUAGAAUUUUUCUUGAAGUAAUUUGUGAUGCUAGAUACUAACAAUAAAAUAUUUCUUUGUUUAUU